rnacentral:rRNA from 1 species
ACUCAAAUGAAUAGACGGGGGCCCGCACAAGCGGUGGAUCAUGUGGUUUAAUUCGAAGCAACGCGCAGAACCUUACCUAGGUUUGAAAUCCUACGAAUUUGUCAGAGAUGACGAAGUGCCCUUCGGGGAAUGUAGAGACAGGUGCUGCAUGGCUGUCGUCAGCUCGUGUUGUGAAAUGUUGGGUUAAGUCUCGCAACGAGCGCAACCCCUGUCCUUAGUUGCCAGCAUUAAGUUGGGCACUCUAAGGAGACUGCCAGGGUUAACCUGGAGGAAGGUGGGGAUGACGUCAAGUCCUCAUGGCCCUUAUGUCUAGGGCUACACACGUGAUACAAUGGGUAGUAUAGAGGGAUGCGAGCCCGCGAGGGGGAGCAAAUCUCAAAAAGCUAAUCUCAGUCCGGAUUGGAGUCUGCAACUCGACUCCAUGAAGUUGGAAUCGCUAGUAAUCGCUGAUCAGAACGCAGCGGUGAAUACGUUCCCGGGCCUUGUACACACCGCCCGU